GACGAACGCUGGCGGCGUGCUUAACACAUGCAAGUCGAACGGAAAGGCCUGCUUUCCCUUGUGGAUUGCGGGUACUCGAGUGGCGAACGGGUGAGUAACACGUGAGUGAUCUGCCCCCAACUUGGGUAUAAGCCUGGGAAACUGGGUCUAAUUCCCGAUAGGACUGCAGGGUGGUGCCUGUGGUGGAAAACGAUUUUCUAGUGGUUGGGGAUGAGCUCGCGGCCUAUCAGCUUGUUGGUGGGGUAAAGGCCUACCAAGGCGGCGACGGGGAGCCGGCCUGGGAAGGGUGACCGCCACAUUUGGACUGGGAUAAGGCCCAGACUCCAACCGGGAGCAGGCAGUGGGGAUAAUUGGCAAAGGGCGGGAGCCUGAAGCCGCGACGGCGCGGUGGGGGUGACCGGCUUCGGGGUGGAAACUCCUUUCGAACACGAGGAAGCCACCUUGGUUGGAGGGUGGUGACGGUAGUGGUAGAAGAAGCACCGGCUAACUACGUG
rnacentral:rRNA from 1 species